GCAUGCAAGUCGAACGGUAUGCAGUGCUUGCACUGCAGAGAGUGGCGAACGGGUGAGUAACACGUAGGUAAUCUACCUUUCAGAUGGGGGAUAGUCCAUGGAAACAUGGAGUAAUACCGCAUAAUGUCCUUCGGGAUUAAAGACGCAAUUGUGUCGUCUGAAGAUGAGCCUGCGCUCCAUUAGCUAGUAGGUAGGGUAAAAGCCUACCUAGGCGAUGAUGGAUAGCCGGCCUAAGAGGGCGAACGGCCACACUGGGACUGAGACACGGCCCAGACUUCUACGGAAGGCAGCAGCUAAGAAUCUUCCGCAAUGGACGAAAGUCUGACGGAGCGACGCCGCGUGAACGAUGAAGGCCGAAAGGUUGUAAAGUUCUUUUCUUUGGGAAGAAUAAUGAUGAGAGUGGACUGCUCAUCAGAUGACGUUACCUUAGGAAUAAGCCCCGGCCAAUUACGUGCCAGCAGCCGCGGUAAUACGUAAGGGGCAAGCGUUGUUCGGAAUUAUUGGGCGUAAAGGGCGUGUAAGCGGUUUUAUAAGCUUGGUGUUAAAUACUCUGGCUCAACCAGAGAGAUGCGCUGAGAACUGUAUGACUAGAGUUCCAAGGAGGAAGCUGGAAUUCCUGGUGU
rnacentral:rRNA from 1 species